AGAGUUUGAUCAUGGCUCAGGAUGAACGCUGGCGGCGUGCUUAACACAUGCAAGUCGAACGAAGCGAUUUGAAUGAAGUUUUCGGAUGGAUUUUAAAUUGACUGAGUGGCGGACGGGUGAGUAACGCGUGGGUAACCUGCCCCAUACAGGGGGAUAACAGUUAGAAAUGACUGCUAAUACCGCAUAAGACCACAGCGCUGCAUGGUGCAGGGGUAAAAACUCCGGUGGUAUGGGAUGGACCCGCGUCUGAUUAGCUAGUUGGCGGGGUAACGGCCCACCAAGGCGACGAUCAGUAGCCGACCUGAGAGGGUGACCGG
rnacentral:rRNA from 1 species